GCGAAAGUAGCUCAGUUGGUAGAGCGUAACCUUGCCAAGGUUAAGGUCGCGGGUUCGAGACCCGUCUUUCGCUCCA
rnacentral:tRNA from 1 species